rnacentral:rRNA from 1 species
UACGUAGGGAGCAAGCGUUGUCCGGAAUCAUUGGGCGUAAAGCGCGCGUAGGUGGCCUCGUAAGUCCGUUGUGAAAGUCAAAGGCUCAAUCUUUGAAAGCCGAUGGAUACUGCGGAGCUAGAGUACGGAAGAGGCGAGUGGAAUUCCUGGUGUAGCGGUGGAAUGCGCAGAUAUCAGGAGGAACACCAAUAGCGAAGGCAGCUCGCUGGGACGUUACUGACACUGAGGCGCGAAAGCGUGGGGAGCGAACAGG